rnacentral:misc_RNA from 1 species
CUGAGUGAGGGCUCACCGCCCGACCUCCAACCCAUUGUAAUCCGACUCUGUUGCCUCGGGGGGCGACCCGGCCUUCGGGCGUUGGGGCCCCCGGUGGACCACUCAACUCUGCAUCUUUGCGUCUGAGUAAUAGAUUGAAUAAAUCA